UAGGUUAUGUGAAUUGUUUUGAUUUUUGUGUGUGCACCGCACACGACAGUAUCCGCACAAAACGGAGUUUUUUAAAAUUAAUUUAUUAAAAUGUUUUUAAUCUAUAUUGUUUUUAUGUAAUUAUUUGAUUUUGUUCUAGUUUUUUAAAAAUUUUAUCGUAAUCUACAAAUUUAUUUUAAAGUAUCGCAAGCCACAGUAUUUUAUUAUAAAUAAUUAAGCUAUUAAUAUAGAAAGAAUUAUGUCACAAUCGAGAAUUAUAAUUAUUGGAGCUGGAGCAGCUGGAAUAGCAGCAGCUUGUCGAUUAAUUGAAAAAGGUUUUCAAAAUGUAACAAUUCUUGAAGCAAAAAAUCGCAUAGGUGGUAGAAUUCAUACCAUUAAUUUUGGUGAUCACGUAAUCGAUUUAGGCGCACAAUGGGUACAUGGUGAAAAUAUUGUUUUUGAUCUAGCGAAUCCUCACAAUUUAUUGGAGUCUGAUUAUGUUAGAGAUUAUGAAAAAAAUUUAUUUGCUGACGCUCAUGGGAAUAUAAUUUCUCCAAAUGAAAGUGGAAAUGCAAUUGCAAUUUAUUUCAAAUUAUGCGAAUGGGAUGAAAUUGAUCUCAAGGAAUGGAAUGGUUCUUAUGGAGAAUUUUUUAAAGAAAAAUUUUACAAAGAAUUUCAAGAAAAUCGUUUUACAAGUAAUGAAAGAGCACAACAAUUUUUGGAAUGGAUGGAAAAAUACGAUAAUCAUAUGCAAUGCAGUGAUUCAUUAAUCCAAGUUUCUGCAAAAAGAUUACGAGAAUAUGAAACAUGCGAUGGAAGUCCAUCGAUGAAUUGGAAAACAAAAGGUUUCAAAACAGUAUUAGAUUUAUUAAUGAAAAGUUAUCCUUCUGAAGAAAAUAAAUUGCCUAUUAUGAGUAAAAUAAUUUUUAAUAAAGAAGUCUCAAAUAUCAAUUAUACUUCAAAUAAUGAAAUUGUAAUUUCAAUUAGAGAUGGAACAAAAUUUGAAGCUUCUCAUGUGAUAUUUACACCAUCGUUGGGCGUUUUAAAAAAUGAAUAUAAAACAUUGUUCAAUCCUUCUUUACCUGAAGCAAAGAGAAAUGCCAUUGAAGGAUUUAGCUUUGGAGCCGUAAAUAAAUUCUUUCUUGAAUUUUCUCAUCGUUGGUGGCCUGAAGAAACGAGUGGUUUAUCAUUUCUUUGGUCCGAUGAAAAUAAACGAGAAUUUUUAACAACCUGGGGACAAGAAAUGUCUUGGUUGUGUGAUAUUUUUAUAUUUUUUGUAGUUGAAAAUCAUAAAAGUGUUCUGUGCGGCUGGACAUUUGGUGAGGCAGCUAGAUUGACUGAAAAACUAACAGAUGUUGAUAUUUCUAAUGGAUUGCACAUUUUGUUGAAAACAUUUUAUGGAAAAACUUACGAUAUACCAAAGGCUGUGAAUUUUACUCGCUCAACAUGGUUUACGGAUAAACAUAUUCGUGGUGGUUAUUCAUUUCGAAGUAUGAAAACAGAGCAAAUGGGAAUAAAUUCUGAAGAUUUGUCGGACCCAAUAACAACAGAUUCAUAUAAACCUAUAAUUUUGUUUGCUGGAGAAGCAACACAUCAGCGAUUUUUUUCAACUGUCCAUGGAGCAAUUGAAACAGGAUUUCGUGAAGCUGAUCGUCUAAUAGAAUAUUUUAGAAUACGUGACGAUUCGAGGCUAAGAAGGCAAAUAUUUGAGUCACAAGAAUCGUCGGAAACGACAGAAUUGGUCAUCAUUGGUGCAGGAAUUUCAGGGUUAGCUGCGGCAAUGACUUUAGAAAUGGAGGGAUUUGACAAUUAUAUUUUAUUCGAAGCAAUGGAUAGAGUUGGAGGUAGAAUACAUACCACUUAUUGGAACGAUGAUGCAAUUGAAUAUGGAGCUCAAUUUUUGCAUGGCGAUAAAAGUAAACUUGGACAAUAUUGUCAUCAAUUAAAUCUUCUAUCUGAUGAUCAUUCAGGUGAAGCCGAAGGUAUUUACAUUAGGGACGAUGGACUCGAAAUUGAAUCUCAUCUUGUGAUAAAAGUCGAUGAUUUUGUACGAUAUACACUUGAGGAAUGUGAGAAAUUUGCAUAUGACAAUCAAAUUCUACAACCAGAGAUUCAUGAAAGUAUCGGUAAAAUUUUACGAACACGAUUUAACAAAUAUUUAAAAGCCACUAAUGACACUGAGGAAAAUAAAAGUAUUAUGAAAGAAUUAUUUGAUUGGAAUAUCAAAUUUUUAAAUAUUGAUAAUUCUUGUUUGUCCGUUGAUGAAUUAUCCGUUAAAGGAUGGGGAAAUUUUCAGUUUGUUGGAGGUCAAGAGCAUUCAAUUUUCAAAUCUAAUUAUAGUUCUAUAACAAAAAUAAUUGCCGAUAAUUUAAAUAAAAAUAAUUUAAGACUUGAGAGUCCAGUGGAAAAAGUUGAAUGGAGAGAUAAAUUGACGAAGGAAGAAAAUUUAAAAUCAAUUCUUAUUACUUUAAAUGAUAAUAAAAAAAUUUAUGCCAAUUGUGUGAUUAUAACAUGUCCACUUGGAUUUCUAAAGGAAAAUUAUAAAAAAAUGUUUCAUCCACCAUUGCCAAAUUAUUUAUGUCGUGGUAUUGAGAGUCUUGGUUUUGGAUUGAUUAAUAAAAUUUUUCUCGAAUUUAAUGAAAUUUGGUGGAAAAUUGGAACGAGGGGAUUUCAAUUUAUUUGGCAACGAGAAAAUCAGAAUUUACAUUUAAAUGAUAAAUUACCCAUGUGGACAAGGGAUUUAACUGGAUUUGAUAUUAUAAAAGAGAAAAAAAAUGGAAUUUUUCUUGGAUGGAUCGGUGGACGUGGUGCUUAUAUUAUUGAAACAUUGAGCGAGCAACAAAUCGCCGAAGAUUGUUUAAAAUUGCUCAAAUAUUUUUUAAAAAAUAAUAAUAUACCUUUUCCAAGAAGAUGUUUGAGAACUCGUUGGUAUGAUAAUAAAUUUGUAAGAGGUGCCUACAGUCAUAUCACAACUAAAUGUGAUAAAAAUAGAAUUUCAUGUGGUACUUUAAGUGAACCUGUUUGGGGUUCGAUUUCAGAUAAUCAUGAAAUCAAGCGUGUGCCAAUAAUAAUGUUAGCGGGCGAGGGAACACAUGAGCAUUUUUAUUCCACGACUCACGGAGCAUAUGAUACCGGAGUAAAACAGGCAAAAAUAUUUUUAAAACAUCAUCAAAGCAAAUAAUUCUGUGAUUAGCAAAUUUUUAGACACAAAUGUUGUUUUACGCAACUAAAAUUAAUUGGAACAUUGAAUAAAGAGAAUUCUAAAAUAAAUGAGGUUGAAAGAGAGAUUUGUGUUCAUCUUUUAAAACCCCCAAGGAACAAGUGUAAAUUACAUGAUCUGCCAAAUAUAAAUCACCAUUUGCAGUUUUUACUUUAACUUUUC